UUACUUGUGAAGUUCACACUAUUGAAACUAAUUGCAAUGCUUGACUUUAUUUUCUUUAGAGUCCAAGAAAGAGAAAAACAAGGCAUAGCACAAAUCCCCCUCUAGAGUGUCAUGUUGGUUGGGUAAUGGAUUCCAGAGACCAUGGGCCAAGAACAUCCUCUGUCAGCACUUCAAAUGCUUCACCUUCAGAAGGCGCACCACUAGCAGGAAGUUAUGGAUGUACUCCUCAUUCAUUCCCAAAGUUCCAGCAUCCUUCUCAUGAACUUUUGAAGGAAAAUGGCUUUACCCAACAAGUGUACCACAGGUAUCGUCGAAGAUGCCUAAGUGAGAGAAAACGCUUGGGAAUUGGUCAGUCCCAAGAAAUGAAUACCCUCUUUCGUUUCUGGUCCUUUUUCCUCAGAGAUCACUUCAAUAAAAAAAUGUAUGAGGAAUUUAGACAACUUGCUUGGGAAGAUGCAAAAGAAAAUUACAGGUAUGGGUUAGAAUGUCUGUUCAGGUUUUAUAGUUAUGGACUGGAAAAAAAAUUCAGGCGAGAAAUUUUUCAGGAUUUCCAAGAAGAAACCAAAAAAGACUACGAAUCUGGUCAGCUGUAUGGACUAGAAAAGUUUUGGGCUUAUUUGAAAUAUUCUCAAUCUAAGACACAGUCUAUUGACCCAAAACUUCAGGAAUACCUCUGUAGUUUUAAGAGGUUAGAAGACUUCCGUGUUGAUCCCCCUAUUAGUGAUGAAUUUGGAAGAAAAAGACAUUCCUCUACUUCUGGUGAGGAGAGUUAUCGUCAUAGACUUCCACCUAAUUCCUCUACAAAGCCACCAAAUGCUGCUAAACCUACAUCUACCAGUGAGCUUCAGGAGGCUGAUCCAAUAGAGUAAUACCUAAUUAUAUCACCAUGAGAUGGCAAAACGGAAUGUCAGAUCUGUAGACUUUUGACAGGAAAAAUCACCAUGAUCGAUUACUUCUGCUCAUCGUAAACAUCUAGUUCCUAAGCAGGAUAUGAGAAUCUGCCUUCCUGUGACCUCUCCUGGGCUCAGUGACACUCCAGUCGCCGCCCCACCCCACACCAAUGCCACUUCCAAGUUUGACUUGCAUCUUACAAACCAUAUUUCUGUUUACUUUUUUUCUGCCCUGGGACAUUUUUAAUAACUUUUAGAUAACAACUUCAACAAAAAUUUACCUCCCACCAA
rnacentral:sRNA from 1 species